rnacentral:sRNA from 1 species
GCCUAGCCCCGAUAGUAGUGGAAAUCCUUGUGGGGCUUUGGUUUUGCCCCACAAGAUUGCAACGAUAGCGGGAGUAGCU